AUUGAACGCUGGCGGCAGGCCUAACACAUGCAAGUCGAGCGGAGCGGCGGACGGGGGAGUAAUGCCUAGGAAUCUGCCUGGUAGCGGUGGAUAACGUUAGCUAAUGGGCGCUAAUACCGCAUACUAUCAGAUGAGCCUAGGUCGGAUUAGCUAGUUGGUGGGGUAAAGGCCUACCAAGGCAACGAUCCGUAACUGGUCUGAGAGGAUGAUCAGUCACACUGGAACUGAGACACGGCCCAGACUCCUACGGGAGGCAGCAGUGGGGAAUAUUGGACAAUGGGCGAAACCCUGAUCCAGCCAUGCCGCGUGUGUGAUGAAGGCCUUCGGAUUGUAAAGUACUUUAAGCUGGGAGGCGUUACCUUCAGAAUAAGCACCGGCUAACUUCGUGCCAGCAGCCGCGGUAAUUC
rnacentral:rRNA from 1 species